CCUACGGGUGGCUGCAGUGGGGAAUAUUGCACAAUGGGCGCAAGCCUGAUGCAGCGACGCCGCGUGAGGGAUGACGGCCUUCGGGUUGUAAACCUCUUUCGACAGGGACGAAGCGAGAGUGACGGUACCUGUAGAAGAAGCGCCGGCCAACUACGUGCCAGCAGCCGCGGUAAGACGUAGGGUGCGAGCGUUGUCCGGAUUUAUUGGGCGUAAAGAGCUCGUAGGCGGCUUGUCGCGUCGACUGUGAAAGCCCGCGGCUUAACUGCGGGACUGCAGUCGAUACGGGCAGGCUAGAGUUCGGUAGGGGAGACUGGAAUUCCUGGUGUAGCGGUGAAAUGCGCAGAUAUAAGGAGGAACACCGGUGGCGAAGGCGGGUCUCUGGGCCGAUACUGACGCUGAGGAGCGAAAGCGUGGGGAGCGAACAGGAUUAGAUACCCUAG
rnacentral:rRNA from 1 species